rnacentral:tRNA from 1 species
UCUGUUGUAGUCUAGUUGGUUAAGAUACUCGGCUCUCAUCCAAAAGACCUAGGUUCAAAUCCCAGCAAUGAAA